UUUUUAUAGGGAGUAUAUAUAAAUAUACUAGAAUUAAGUUAAACUGGGUGCAUGAAGAACCAGCAGCAAGUAAAAGAUUACACUGCCUCAGCUGCAUCCAUGCAAAAUACACGAUUAUCCUCUCAGCGGCAGAAGAUGACAGACAUGAAUUUUCAUCUCAACAACUCUUGACUUGUAUGCACAAAUGUAAUGAAUACAAUGCAGAAUGAACUUACAAGGAGACUUAAAUCGGGAUGGGAUAUGUUAAUCAAAUCAGGAUGGCAACCAAAAAACAAAAAAACAAAAAUAAAAAUAAAAGAAGAUAAAAUUAUGAUUAAAAAAUAAGUAGAGAGUAUUUCCUCUUUACUUGUAGCUGUGCCAGGGUCACCUUGGACCAGAUAACUCUACUGCAUGCAAAUUUUCUGUUGAGUCUACAAUCCAGUCAGAAUUAGGAUGAGGGGCUAGCUCCACCUCCUGCCGGAGAACUUCCACUUUUUGCCACUCAUCCCAUCUCUCCGCCAAGCCAUCCCCUUCAAGCAUUCUAACCACUUCUGACAUUUUAGGCCUCUCCAUUGGGGAGCCUUGUGUACAGAGAAGUGCAACCUGGAUUAAUUGCUCCACCUCAGCUUCUACGUAUUUCUUCUGGAGAUCAGGAUCAACCAGCAUUUCUAACUUUUUCUCUUUAAGAAGUCCUUUCACCCAAUCAAGUAACAUAACAUCAUCAUCGUUUGCAAGCCUAGCAAGGUCAAAAGCCCUCUGUCCAGUAAUUAGCUCCAGAAGCAUGAUCCCAUACCCAAAAACAUCAGUUUUUUCAGAUGAUUUUCCAGUAGAAAGGUACUCUGGAGCUAUGUGCCCUAUUGUACCACGGACAGCAGUAGUGACAUGAGUAUCCUUGUAGUCCAUCAGCUUAGCCAACCCGAAAUCCCCAACAACAGCCUCAAAAUCCUCAUCCAACAAAAUAUUUGCAGCUUUAACAUCUCGAUGAAUAAUCUUUGGGUCACAAUGAUCAUGCAAAUAAGAUAGACCCCUAGCUGAUCCCAAUGCAAUUCGCUUCCGUGUUGGCCAAUCAAGAGGAGGUUGAGAUGGUGAGCGCUCUCUUAAACAUGAUGCAACACUUCCAUUUGCCAUGUAGGGAUAAACAAGGAGUCGUUCAGUUGGUGUCAUGCAAAACCCGCGUAAUCUAAGGAGAUUCCGAUGCACAGCCAUGCUUAUCAUCUCCACUUCUGUUUGAAACUGCAACUCCCCUCCCGGUGUACGCUCUUCUUUCAGUCUCUUUACAGCCACCAAUGAGCCAUCUGCUAAACGUCCUUUGUAAACCUUACCAAAUCCUCCUCUACCAAGAAUGUUUUUGUUGCUGAAACUAUCUGUCGCAACUUGUAAUUCUCGCAGUGAAAACCUUUUAAGUUGUCCUAGAUGAACUUCAGGAUCCUCUUCGGCAGGUACAUCAAAGAAGAAUUCCUGAGGUUUCCUACGACGCCACCAAGCAAAUGCUAAUGCAGGGGCAGCAAAUAGUAAGGCUGCACCAGCAGCUACUCCUCCAGCAAUUGCACCAGUUGCAGUAUUCCCACCUUGUGAGGAAAUUGGGGGUAGCGGAACAAAUGGAGGAGGAGGUGCAAAUGGAGGAGAACCUGGGCAGGGAUGCCCAGUAACUGGCCCACACAGAUCCAAGUUAUUAGCAAAACUAAUGGGAGUGAACAUCGAGAAGGAACCAUUAUCAGGAACAACUCCAGAGAGACGGUUGUUUGAUAGAUCCCUGGAUAUAAAAGUAAAAUGAUUAAACACAUUAAUCUAGCAUCAAUAUCAUGCCUGUGUAUGUGUGUGCGUGCACUCUCAUGUGAGAUUUCUUCAUGACAUACCCAAAUGAGUUAGGCACUUACAACACUUGAAGUGAUGAAAUAUUAGUCAAUGGCAUAGGAAUGCGACCCGUCAAGCUGUUGUUGUUAAGCCGGAGAAAUCGUAAUUUUGACAGCUUGCCCAAACUUUCUGGGAUGGGACCAGUAAAACUAUUCAAGUAAAGAUCCAAGCUCACCAAGCUAGUCAAGUUACCAAGAUCACCAGGAAUUGGUCCGCUUAUGUUAUUACUGUAGAGCUCCAAGUAUUGCAAGUUUUUAAGCAGGCCAAGUUGCGGAACAAGCUGACCAGACAAAGCAGCAUUUCCAAGAUCAACUCUUAUAACACUAUUAUCAUUGUUGCAGGUGACAUGAAACCAUGUGCAAGGGUUGACAAGGGUAGGAUCCCAACUCUGCAGGACAUUGUUUGGAUCAAUCAAGUUGCUUCUCAGGCUGUGCAAAGCAUUACCUGUUUCCGCGAAACACUUAGGGAUUGACAGUCACAGUAACCAACAAGAUACUACAGAAGGAAUACAGUAGAUAAGAAUGAACCAAUAAGGAACAAAUACAGUAGAACACAAAGCUCCCAAAAGCAUCAUAUUAGACCCAUGAUAAGUUCUUGAGAUAUCAAUUCUAAGUGCCACAGAUAACGAUGUCAAUGUGUGUAAAUCAUGUUUUUCAGUUAAAUGAGAUCAGUGGUUCAGGGCAAGCUAUCUCUAGAAAUGAAAGGUAGAAAAAUAUUUAAAACAAAAAAAUUAUUUUGAAAUAAAAUAGCAUGAAGUUUAAGGCUUAAUCCAGUAUACAGAGAUGGUUUAGACAAACUUGGCAUGUAAAAUACGAUUUACAACUUGUGAUGUUGCAACUAAUCUCAGUCACUACAUUGCCAAAAGUGCAAUGGAUUAUGUUUCCUCUGAAAACCAUGGUCAAUAUUAGGAUCAUUCCACAAAGGCGUUUGGAGAGGGAAAAGAAACGAAAUAAAUGGUGCCUUGACAGAUUUUCUAAUUAAUCCACAGAAGGCAUUGAGUAAAAGAGCAUCACCCAAGUCAUCACAUAUUAUUAUAAAGAUUGGGUAAGAAAAGCAAUAAAAGCUAGAAAAUAAUGAAAAUUUCAAUAAGAUCACCAAUAACCAGUAUCACAGGUGUACCUGUACUGAACUACAACCAGCCAUUAUACACUACCUCCAUAAUUAAUAGGGAAAAAUAGAAACCCAUUUCCACAAAUCAGCAAAGCAAGCAAAAACCAAGAUCAAACUCUAACAAUUUUGAAAAAGGAAAAUAAACCCAACAAAAUAUAGCACUCAAGAAGCAAUAAAUAGAAGACCAAAUAGAAAUACAACAAACCUUCGGUAUUACCCAAAGCCAGCCAUAAUGGAUGCAGCAGAAAGAUCAGCCACACCCCAACCUUCCUCUCCAUCACCACUAAACAAACACGCACACUCCCCUCGAAACUUUAACUUCUCAAUCUCCUCAGAUCCAAACAACAGUACACCAAAACCCAGCUCACCAUCACCCAACAAAAGAAACAGAGAGAAGAAGAAGAAGAAGAAGAAG
rnacentral:misc_RNA from 1 species